GGAUAGCUCAGUGGGUAGAGCACAAGGCUCGAAACCUUGCUGUCGCGGGUUCGAUUCCCGCUCCGA
rnacentral:tRNA from 1 species